GCUAGUAAUCGCGGAUCAGCAACGCCGCGGUGAAUGCGUUCCCGGGCCUUGUACACACCGCCCGUCAAGUCAUGAAAGUGGGCAGCACCCGAAGACGGUGGCCUAACCCUUGUGGGGGAGCCGUCUAAGGUGAGGCUCGUGAUUGGGACUAAGUCGUAACAAGGUAUC
rnacentral:rRNA from 1 species